AACAGGCCACAAGGAAGUGCAUGAGUCACCUUAGAAACUGCACACACAGAACAUGCCUGCACAUACUCUUUUACAUCUUUCCUGAGUGAAUCCCACCAAAAUGAUCUAGUGAUCGCGGCAGUGGACUUAUUGAUGCCCGGGUGUCCAGCAGUUACAUUGUCAUGGAACACUUUCAUGAUAUUAACCCUUUCACAUAGGGGAACGAACAGUUUAUCACACGGUUUACC